rnacentral:rRNA from 1 species
AAAUCUGGCUCCUUCGGAGUCCGAGUUGUAAUUUGUAGAAGAUGCUUUGGGUUGCAGGUUCGGUCUAAGUUCCUUGGAACAGGGCGUCAUAGAGGGUGAGAAUCCCGUCUGCGGCCGUGACCUGUGCCCGUGUAAAGCUCUUUCGACGAGUCGAGUUGUUUGGGAAUGCAGCUCAAAAUGGGUGGUAAAUUUCAUCUAAAGCUAAAUAUUGGCCAGAGACCGAUAGCGCACAAGUAGAGUGAUCGAAAGAUGAAAAGCACUUUGGAAAGAGAGUUAAACAGUACGUGAAAUUGUUGAAAGGGAAGCGCUUGCAACCAGACUUGGGCGUCGUGGAUCAUCCGAGGUUCUCCUCGGUGCACUCGACGACGCACAGGCCAGCAUCGGUUUGGAUGGCUGGAAAAAGGCCCUAGAAAUGUAGCUCCUCGCGGGGAGUGUUAUAGUCUAGGGCGUAAUGCAGCCCAUCUGGACCGAGGACCGCGCUUCGGCUAGGAUGCUGGCGUAAUGGUUGUAAGCGACCCGUCUUGAAACACGGACCAAGGAGUCUAACAUCUAUGCGAGUGUUUGGGCGUUAAACCCAUACGCGGAAUGAAAGUGAACGUAGGUGAGAACCCGUUUGGGGGCAUCAUCGACCGAUCCUGAAGUCUUCGGACGGAUUUGAGUAAGAGCAUAGCUGUUG